rnacentral:rRNA from 1 species
GAUGAACGCUAGCGGCAGGCUUAAUACAUGCAAGUCGUGGGGCAGCAGGUUUGUAGCAAUACAGAUGCUGGCGACCGGCAAACGGGUGCGGAACACGUACAGAGCCUUCCUUUGAGCGGGGAAUAGCCCAGAGAAAUUUGGAUUAAUACCCUAUAGUAUAAUGAAGUGGCAUCACUUUAUUAUUAAAGAUUUAUCACUCGAAGAUGGCUGUGCGGCUGAUUAGGUAGUUGGCGGGGUAAAGGCCCACCAAGCCUGCGAUCAGUAACUGGUGUGAGAGCACGACCAGUCACACGGGCACUGAGACACGGGCCCGACUCCUACGGGAGGCAGCAGUAAGGAAUAUUGGUCAAUGGAGGCAACUCUGAACCAGCCAUGCCGCGUGGAGGAUGAAGGUCCUCUGGAUUGUAAACUUCUUUAUAUGGGACGAAAAAGGCUUUCUAAGUCGUCUGACGGUACCAUAUGAAUAAGCACCGGCUAACUCCGUGCCAGCAG